rnacentral:rRNA from 1 species
AUUGAACGCUGGCGGCAGGCCUAACACAUGCAAGUCGAACGGUAACAGGAAGCAGCUUGCUGCUUCGCUGACGAGUGGCGGACGGGUGAGUAAUGUCUGGGAAGCUGCCUGAUGGAGGGGGAUAACUACUGGAAACGGUAGCUAAUACCGCAUAAUGUCGCAAGACCAAAGAGGGGGACCUUCGGGCCUCUUGCCAUCGGAUGUGCCCAGAUGGGAUUAGCUUGUUGGUGGGGUAACGGCUCACCAAGGCGACGAUCCCUAGCUGGUCUGAGAGGAUGACCAGCCACACUGGAACUGAGACACGGUCCAGACUCCUACGGGAGGCAGCAGUGGGGAAUAUCGCACAAUGGGCGCAAGCCUGAUGCAGCCAUGCCGCGUGUAUGAAGAAGGCCUUCGGGUUGUAAAGUACUUUCAGCGGGGAGGAAGGGAGUAAAGUUAAUACCUUUGCUCAUUGACGUUACCCGCAGAAGAAGCACCGGCUAACUCCGUG